rnacentral:lncRNA from 1 species
AGGUCCCUGCAAGAGGCCCCUGGACACUUGUUGGUCUGCCAGAAAUCCAAAUUCUGCCACUAGUCACACCACCUGCAUCUCAUGGAGAAACAUUGCCACGAUUACAUGGUUGCACUAAAAUGCAAUGCAAAUAUUAAUGAAGAUAAUAUUACUGCCCAGGUAUGAAACAGAAAAAUAAUUUUAUCACUGGAUAAAGACAUGAAAAAACUAGACUUCAAGGACAUCCACCUGAGUAUUCUGGCAGAAAAUCAUGAAAUUUAGUGUUUUCAUUGAUUUGAUAGGCUUAUCCUUUAACCCAGAUUCUAAGACAUAUGAAAGGACGUCUUGGCUCUCCAAGGAAAAGAAGCCAUUGAAAUUUGGUUUUCUUUUGGCUUGGCAUUAUACAAAAACAAUGGGCCUAAUAAUUUCAUAUCAACUCAGUGCUACCCUCAGCCAAGGACGGUGGUGGCAAAGAAUCCUUGUAUACAAUCACUGGUUGCAUAUUUCCAGAGAGGAUCUGUCUCCUAAUGGAACAGCUAGCUCACUACUCUGAUUAAACAAAGUUAGUUCCUCAGAUUACAUUGUCAGUUCAAGACUUUGCAGACAGCCCUGUUUCAUAAAGAGAAAAUGAAUAUUAUUUUUAAAAAAGAGAAACAUUUUUACAACUUUGUAAUUUUUAAUAAUCAGGACUAUUGGCUUCAGAAGGCUAUUGGGGCAAAUAAUGACUGUCCAC